GACGAACGCUGGCGGCGUGCUUAACACAUGCAAGUCGAACGGAAAGGCCCUGCUUUUGUGGGGUGCUCGAGUGGCGAACGCGUGAGUAACACGUGUGUAUCCUGCCCUUGACUUUCGGGUAACUUCAGGAAACUGGGGCUAAUAUCGUAUAUGAGACCCUGCUGCGUUGUGGGGGUUGGAAAGUUUAGGCGGUUGGGGAUGGACUCGCGGCUUAUCAGCUUGUUGGUGGGGUAGUGGCUUACCAAGGCUUUGGCGGGUAGCCGGCCUGAGAGGGUGACCGGCCACAUUGGGACUGAGAUACGGCCCAGACUCCUACGGGAGGCAGCAGUGGGGAAUAUUGCACAAUGGGCGGAAGCCUGAUGCAGCGACGCCGCGUGAGGGAUGACGGCCUUCGGGUUGUAAACCGCUUUCGGCUGUGACGAAGCGGGAGUGACGGUACUGGGAGAAGAAGCACCGGCUAACUACGUG
rnacentral:rRNA from 1 species